rnacentral:rRNA from 1 species
UACGGAGGGGGCUAGCGUUGUUCGGAAUUACUGGGCGUAAAGCGCACGUAGGCGGAUUGUUAAGUCGGGGGUGAAAUCCCGGGGCUCAACCCCGGAACGGCCCUCGAUACUGGCAGUCUUGAGGACGGUAGAGGCUAGUGGAAUGGCGAGUGUAGAGGUGAAAUUCGUAGAUAUUCGCCGGAACACCAGUGGCGAAGGCGACUGGCUGGGCCGUUACUGACGCUGAGGUGCGAAAGCGUGGGGAGCAAACAGG